GGAUGCGAUCAUACCAGCACUAAAGCACCGGAUCCCAUCAGAACUCCGAAGUUAAGCGCGCUUGGGCGAGAGUAGUACUAGGAUGGGUGACCUCCUGGGAAGUCCUCGUGUUGCAUUCC
rnacentral:rRNA from 2 species